rnacentral:lncRNA from 1 species
GGUGAACACGUUUUGAACCUGGGAAAGGAUGUAGAAACCGUAAGCUUUUCAGUCAUCCAAACUCUAGGGGAAAUUUAGGCACAUGGGAGAGCCCAGGCUUGGGCAGGAAGUUACCACGAAUGCCCCCACAGAGGGAAGAGCGGGAGCUUUGUUCUUUGUGUUAGACAUUGCACUGAAGGGUGAUGUUUAUCCUUGUAGGAACUGGGGCCACUUGCAUUUCACCCCAGGGAGCAGCGACGCACCUGUGCCGUGACAGGACGCGUCCAUGUGAGUCGAGGUGGUAUCUGUACCGUUUCCAAUCUCUGCCGACCUUGUCCAGCAGGAUGGGGAAGGAUGUGGGAUUUGGACCGAAGAUACCUCGGUGUGUCCCACCCACAGAUAAGAAUCCGGCUCAGAGACCGUUGUGAAGGGGCUGCAGCACCCCCGGGAAAGUGUUCCGGGAGUGUGACUCGGGAAGACGAGCACACGAGGCAUCUUCCGCUUCAUUGGAAGAGUCAGUGGCAACUAGUGUGGGGAAGCGGAGCCCGCGGGGCGAUUGUGCGGCGUCUGCUGGAAUUUGGCAGCGCGGAGGCUUGGAGAGCAGCCCCAUGCUGGCUCCUAUUCAGCCGGCCGGUUCUCCUCGAGCUUUGGAAGUUUCACUCAGCCGUGCACUCAAUGGCUUCACAAAGCUGAUUACAAGCUUCAGCGCAUUCCUGAAGGAGCCAAAAGCGACGCAGGUGCAAACGAGCCGAGGGAGCCCCUUAUCCCAGUGACAGAAUGGGACAAGCUGGGAAAGGCUUGGACCACACAAAUCCAAGCGCACCAGGCAGCAGAAAGCCUGCCUUGGGAACCAGGGGUCAUUAUCCGCCCUAUUCAGCAGGGCCCGGGGACCCUGGGGGCCCGGGAGGCUGGACCGCGAGGGCGU